rnacentral:rRNA from 1 species
GACGAACGCUGGCGGCGUGCUUAACACAUGCAAGUCGAACGAAGUGGCGAACGGGUGAGUAACGCGUAAUCAACCUGCCCUUCAGAGGGGGACAACAGUUGGAAACGACUGCUAAUACCGCAUACGGAAGGAGGGGAUUGCGUCUGAUUAGCUAGUUGGGGGGGUAAAGGCCCACCAAGGCGAGGAUCAGUAGCCGGUCGGGGGAGAUGAACGGCCCAAUUGGGACUUGGACACGGCCCAGACUCCUACGGGAGGCAGCAGGGGGGAAUCGUCCGCAAUGGAGGAAAGUCUGACGGAGCAACGCCGCGUGAGUGAUGACGGCCUUCGGGUUGUAAAGCUCUGUUAAUCGGGACGCGGUACCGGAAUAGAAAGCCACGGCUAACUACGUGCCAGCAGCCGCGGUAAUAC